ACAACUGACCAGAAUAGACUUCCUUCCUCUUUUCUGUCUGCUACCUAUGGAGCAGUUGAGAAGGUUCAUUUGCAUACAUCUUCAUUUACUGUCCUUCCAAAGCCUUUGAUACCGAGCACGCUAAGAUGGGUAUCCUCAUUUUACAAAGAUCAAGGCAGAGAGAAGAGAAGGGACUAGCCUAGGAUCACACAAUUGACAUGUCAUCGCUGAGACCAGCAGUAAAUACACAGAUGGAUAAGACUCAAAAGAACCUACAAAUCCUGUACAAUGAAAUCAUGUGGCAAGAAUGUGGUUAUUCUGAGAAACAGAAUAAAGCAGCAUUUUGCUGUGCCUUUUCACACAGCUGCCAAUCAA